rnacentral:rRNA from 1 species
AUUGAACGCUGGCGGCAUGCCUUACACAUGCAAGUCGAACGGUAACGCGGGGCAACCUGGCGACGAGUGGCGAACGGGUGAGUAAUGUAUCGGAACGUGCCCAGUUGUGGGGGAUAACUGCUCGAAAGAGCAGCUAAUACCGCAUACGACCUGAGGGUGAAAGCGGGGGAUCGCAAGACCUCGCGCAAUUGGAGCGGCCGAUAUCAGAUUAGGUAGUUGGUGGGGUAAAGGCUCACCAAGCCAACGAUCUGUAGCUGGUCUGAGAGGACGACCAGCCACACUGGGACUGAGACACGGCCCAGACUCCUACGGGAGGCAGCAGUGGGGAAUUUUGGACAAUGGACGCAAGUCUGAUCCAGCCAUGCCGCGUGCGGGAAGAAGGCCUUCGGGUUGUAAACCGCUUUUGUCAGGGAAGAAACGCUCUGGGUUAAUACCUCGGGGUAAUGACGGUAACCGGAGAAGAAGCCCCGGCUAACUUCGUGCCAGCCGCCGCCGUAAGAC